rnacentral:rRNA from 1 species
UCGAGAAUCUUUCGCAAUGGGCGCAAGCCUGACGAAGCGACGCCGUGUGAGCGAAGAAGGCCUUCGGGUUGUAAAGCUCUUUCGCUAGGGAACAAGAAAGCUGGGAUAAUACCCCGGCAAUUUGAUGGUACUUGGUAAUGAAGCACCGGCUAACUCCGUGCCAGCAGCUGCGGUAAUACGGAGGGUGCAAGCAUUGAUCGGAAUUACUGGGCGUAAAGGGCGCGUAGGCGGCCUGAUAAGUCAGAUGUGAAAUCCCGGGGCUCAACCCCGGGGCGGCAUCUGAAACUAUCAGGCUUGAGUGCAGUUAGGGAAAACGGAAUUCCACGUGUAGCGGUGAAAUGCGUAGAUAUGUGGAAGAACACCGGUGGUGAAGACGGUUUUCUAGGCUGGGACUGACGCUGAGGCGCGAAAGCUAGGGGAGCAAACAGG